rnacentral:lncRNA from 1 species
UCACCACGGUGACUUGCAAGCAACUCACUAUACUUUGAUGUCAGACUAACUGAGUUUUUAAUUCAGUGAUGAAAAAUUUUUGAGUACAGUCAAAUACUUGUCAAGUCGGUGCGUGAGUCAAGAUGGGAUUGAUCCCUCCGAAUUUAUAGGAGAUAUACAUCAAUGUAUUUCAAUUUAGCAAAACUUGAGCUUGGAUAAUCUAUGUGAUGGAUUUGAAAAAGAUUGAAAUACAAUGCAGAUGACUUAUCUAGGAUUGACAGUUAAAUCCUAUAUGAUAAUCAUACGCCAAUAGGUUCUUGAAUGUUGCUUCGCCUUC